UGUACUGCCCCCAUGCGGUGGUGGCAGAUUUGUGUGGAGAGGAGCGGCUUAAAACUCUGAGGAAACGUACAGAGACCGUGUCCCAGGGACAGUCGGGUGCGUAGCGGGUGCCUCAGGAAUAAAUAUUUUGAGUAGGAUAGCACUGGAAACUGGGCUGCCUUGGAAGAAUUUUUAUGCUAUUUGAGGAAACCACACGGUACCUCAGUCUACUGUCGCGAAGCAGGGUGAGGAAAAAACCAAGAAACACUCCCACGGACAAUAAAACCAACCGGUAAAAGACACGGAAACUCAACUGGCAAAGAAAGCCAGAAGAAGCUGUCAAUUCAUCUACCAGCUGAGUAAUCUCUAGAAAAAGCUUCCAGCAGGCAGUGGAUUUAAAGUUUGAGAUCAAAGUGCAGAAUCUGAGAGCUGUAUAAGAAUGGCAGCAGAAUUAUCAGAAGGGCCUUUGGUAAUGAUGCUUCCUGGUUAUCCAAAACAAGAGUACUCAUGCAGCAGGAAAGCUGGCAGGAGCCGUUCUCAUCGCUCGAGCGAGCGCAGCAGACGCACGACUUGGCACCGGGACACGAGCCUCUGCCGCGAGCCUUUGCCGCCUCAGAGAGAAUAUGGAUUUUGCGAGAAGAAGAUGGUUCUGCCUGCUACUGGGCUGCAUGAUGCUGAUUAAUCUGAUUAAUGCUGAUUUUGAAUUUCAAAAGGGGGUGCUUGCUAGGAGCAGCCCCGGGAUCAUGGAGGACAUUGAUCUCCAGUGCUGGAACACUUGCUCUUUGACAUUGAUAGAUCUCAAGGAACUCAAGAUAGAGCACAAUGUAAAUGCUUUCUGGAAUUUCAUGUUAUUCCUGCAAAAAUCCCAGCGGUCUAGACAUUAUAAUGUCUUUUUAAGCAUAGCUCAGGAUUUCUGGGACAUGUAUGUAGACUGCUUGCUUUCAAGAUCUCAUGGAAUGGGCAGAAGACAGGCGAUGCCUCCUGAUUAUCCACAGAAGAUAACAGGAGGACUGGAUUUUAUAAGACCUGAGUUUUACAUUUAAGAACACAGAAAAUACCUCAAGCAAGAUGACACCAACCUGAAAAUUUAACUCUGUCAGUAUUUAUGAGCUCAAAUAUUUCCUGUAAUAUUUUAAAAAUUGUUAUUUCUAAUUCUUUAAUAUUGAUGAAGGUUGCAUUUUCAUUGAUGUGUAAUUGUUUUAUGGCUAUUGAAUUAUCACUUCCAUCUUUCUGGGUAAUUUGUUAAUAAUUUUUUAUUUAGCAGGCAUCUUUGUAAAGCUUUUUUUUUUUUACUAUUUUAGGGCUGCACCUGCAGCAUAUAGAAGUUCCCAGACCAGGGGUUGAAUCAGAGCUACAGCUGCUGGCUACAGCCACAGCCACAGCAACUGGGGAUCUGAGCUGCAUCUGUGACCUACACCACAGCUCAUAGCAACACUGGAUCCUUAACCUACUGAGUGAGGCCAGGGAUGGAACCUGCAUCCUCAUGGAUACUAGUUGGAUUUGUAACUCUCUGAGCCACAACAGGAACUUCCAAGCAUCUUUAUUUUAAAAAAACCACCACUUAAAAUGCAAAUACAGUGUAUUUUUUAAUACAACAAUUAGUGGAGUAAAAUUGUAACCAAUUUUAUAAGGUAUCUUAUACAUAUUAUUUACUUUAAAACUGUGCCAAAACUAAUGCCAGUAUCAUCAAGUCAUAUUCAGUCUUGAUGUAGAGCACUGUGUGGUUUCUGAUAUGUGUAUAUCAUCACUAGCCUAUCUUAUGUAUUGUUUUUCUAUGCACUAAGGACCAAAAUUUUGUUUUAUGUUCUCAUUUUUAUUGUCCUCAUUUUAAAAAAGGGAAUAACAAACAAAGGCAGUAAGAAACCUCAUUUUAGUAAAGUGCAGUUUGAUAGAAUUUUUGUCUUUAAGUGUUAUCUCACUUGUUUUCUGUAUUUCCUAUUUAUAUCACACAUCUUAUUCCAGAGAGGAUAUGAAGUUUAAAGAAAUGUACCAAAUGAUAGAAUAACACGAAGUAGAUAAUGAAAUUAGGAUGAUGAGAAAUAAAGACAGGAAAGUAAUAAUAUGCAGUUAAAGAUUAGAUUAAUACUUUUAAAUGCAUGCCACAACGUUCUAUACUUUUGAUAGAGAGUAUCUGUAACUCUGGUCUGAGUUUUCUAUUUCCUAAAGUGAAGAGGGCCUCAUGAGCAGUUUCAAGAUACGCAAUGCUGAUAAGUAAAACCAAACAACAUGUUUGGGAGAAACCUAGCUUUUCCUAGGACUAAGAACCAAUAGAAACUUGUCCCGUAGUUUUCACAAUGGCUAUCAUGGUGUAUAGCAUCAUGUUUUUAAGUAUCGACAAUGACGGAUGUCUUCAAUGCAAGUUGAUACUAGCACACCCAAACUCAAUUAAAUAUAAAUAAUUUUUUUCUUUUUUCUUUUUUUUUUUUUUUUUACCUUUUCCAGGGCCACUCCUGUGGCAUAUGGAGGUUCCCAGGCUAGGGGGCUAAUUGGAGCUGUAGCCACUGGCCUUCGCCAGAGCCACAGCAACGCCAGAUCCGAGCUGCGUCUGUGACCUACACCAUAGCUCAUGGCAACACCAGAUCCUCAACCCACUGAGCAAGGCCGGGGAUCGAACUCCCAACCCCAUGGUUCCCAGUCGGAUUUGUUAACCACUGCGCCAUGACGGGAACUCCAUGGUAUAAAUAAUUUUAAAAGCAGCAAAAAUAACAUGGAACAAAACAUGCAAUUGUUGACUUGAUCCUAGAGUAAAUUUUGCAUUAAAGGAGGGUCCUGACAUUCUUUGAGUUGUGGACCACUUCGAAAUUCUAAUGCUAUAGAGGCUUUACUAAGGAUUUUAUAUGUGCACAUUCAUCCUUUUGUGUAUAAUUUUAGGGAUCCCAUGAGACCUAGAUCAAGAAGCUCCACACACUAAAGAAUGAAUGGACUGCAUAGCUUUCAUGUAUUCUUUUACAGAUAGCAUUUCAUAUAACUGAGUUUUGACAAAUAAUUGGUUGCAGAUAAUUAUAGAUCACUUAGGUUCAGAAAAUCAACUAGUUGUAGGGUAGAGCUUAUGUUCUGUUAUGAAAAUGACCAGAUACCCAAGAAGUUGCUUAAUUCAUUUCCUGCUGUAGAGGUAUAGGGUCAUGAUUUUCUUUAGUUUCUCUCUCUCUUACAACUUAAAAAGUUAAAUCCCAGGAGUUCUUGUCCUGGCUCAGUGGAAAUAAAUCUGACUAGUAUCCAUGGGGACGGACACAGUCGUUUCCUGGGCUCAGUGGGUUGCGGAUCUGGUGUUGCCAUGAGCUGUGGUGUAGGUUGCAGACAUGGCUGGGAUCUGGUGUGGCUGUGGCUGUGGCUGUGGCUGCAGCUCCGAUUUGACCCCUAGCCUAGGAACUUCCAUAUGCUGUGGUGUGGCCCUAAAAAGAAAAAAAAAAAAAAAGAAGUUAAAUCCCAUAAAGCAAUACCAUGUAAUUUUAGCCUAAAAAAUCAUUCAACCACUUGUCAUUUUUGUCAUGAAAAUUUUAUUGCAGCAAUGAUGAACCUUUUACUGUUAAUAAAAUUAAUUGCUAGACUUGCAAAAA